rnacentral:sRNA from 1 species
UAAGCGGAGGAAAAGAAACUAACAAGGAUUCCCCUAGUAGCGGCGAGCGAAGCGGGAAAAGCUCAAAUUUGUAAUCUGGCGUCUACGACGUCCGAGUUGUAAUCUCGAGAAGUGUUUUCCGUGAUAGACCGCAUACAAGUCUCUUGGAACAGAGCGUCAUAGUGGUGAGAACCCAGUACACGAUGCGGAUGCCUAUUACUUUGUGAUACACUUUCGAAGAGUCGAGUUGUUUGGGAAUGCAGCUCAAAUUGGGUGGUAAAUUCCAUCUAAAGCUAAAUAUUGGCGAGAGACCGAUAGCGAACAAGUACCGUGAGGGAAAGAUGAAAAGCACUUUGGAAAGAGAGUUAACAGUACGUGAAAUUGUUGGAAGGGAAACACAUGCAGCCAGACUUGCUAUUCGGGGCAACUCGAUUGGCAGGCCCGCAUCAGUUUUUCGGGGCGGAAAAUCAUAGAGAGAAGGUAGCAAUUUCGGUUGUGUUAUAGCUCUUUAUUGGAUUCGCCCUGGGGGACUGAGGAACGCAGCGUGCUUUCAGCAUAAGCUUCGGCUUAUCCACGCUUAGGAUGCGGGUGUAAUG